AUGGGCCUCCCCGUUCCAGCGUGCCACCACAGGCUUCCCCCUUCCAGCGCGGGCUGCAAGACUGACCGCCGCCCCCUGGCUUCAAUGUGCCACCGUCGGAUCCCCUGGCUUCCACCUGCCGUCGUCGUCCCCCUAGCUUCACCUGCCGCCGUGGCCUCCCUGCUUCCACCAGCCGUCGUCGGGGGUCACCCCCGACACCUCCACCGUCGCCACGCGCGACGCACCUCCUCCCAAGGACGCGGUCGCCUCCCCGCCUCCUACCAGCGACGCGACCACUCCUCCCGGCAGUGCGCCAUGUGUGGCCGAUGUUUCGGCGUCGCCCUCUGGGGCCUCAGUGCGCAGGACGUUCAACUCCACCACCUGAGGUCAUUCACCUCUGCCACCUAA
rnacentral:rRNA from 1 species